rnacentral:tRNA from 1 species
GGGGAUUUAGCUCAGCGGCAUAAGCGCCUGCCUUGAAAGCAGGAAGUCGUGAGUUCGAUCCCUG